rnacentral:rRNA from 1 species
CGGCGAGUGAAGCGGGAUGAGCUCAAAUUUGUAAUCUGGUGGACUCAGUUCAUCCGAGUUGUAAUCUAUAGAAAAGUUUUCCGCGCCGGACCGUGUCUAAGUCCCUUGGAACAGGGUGUCAGAGAGGGUGAGAAUCCCGUGCUUGAUACGACCACCGGUGCUAUGUGAUACUUUUUCAACGAGUCGAGUUGUUUGGGAAUGCAGCUCAAAAUGGGUGGUAAAUUCCAUCUAAAGCUAAAUAUUGGCGAGAGACCGAUAGCGAACAAGUACCGUGAGGGAAAGAUGAAAAGCACUUUGGAAAGAGAGUUAAACAGUACGUGAAAUUGUUAAAAGGGAAACGAUUGAAGUCAGUCGUGCUCUCUGGGACUCAGCCGGUUCUUCCGGUGUAUUUCCCAGUGAGCGGGUCAACAUCAGUUUAGAUCGCUGGAUAAGGUCAUUAGGAAUGUGGCUCCCUCGGGAGUGUUAUAGCCUAGUGUCGCAUACAGUGGUUUAGACUGAGGAACGCAGCUCGCCUUUAUGGCCGGGGUUCGCCCACGUCCGAGCUUAGGAUGUUGACAUAAUGGCUUUAAACGACCCGUCUUGAACCACGGACCAAAA